rnacentral:rRNA from 1 species
GGUUUCCGUAGGUGAACCUGCGGAAGGAUCAUUGUCGAAACCUGCAUCGCAGAACGACCAGCGAACACGUUCUUAUCCACGGACGUGGGGGCGUUCAUGUUGCCUUGUGCGCAUGCUUGUCCCUCGUCUGCGCUAGUGGGAAUUUGCCCUAGCAAACCAACGAACCCCGGCGCGAAAAGCGUCAAGGAACAUAAACAAAACGUGUGCUCUAUCCUUUGCCCGGUUAACCGGUGCAGUGGUGUGAUGCCGUGUCUUAACAAUAAACGACUCUCGGCAACGGAUAUCUCGGCUCUCGCAUCGAUGAAGAACGUAGCGAAAUGCGAUACUUGGUGUGAAUUGCAGAAUCCCGUGAACCAUCGAGUCUUUGAACGCAAGUUGCGCCCGAAGCCUUGGCUAAGGGCACGUCUGCCUGGGCGUCACGCAUCGCGUCCCCCCACACCACCUCGUGUGGGGGGAGGAUGAUGGCUUCCCGUCCCUCACCGGGGGCGGUUGGCCUAAAUUUGGAGCCAGGAGCAUUGAGCUGCCGCGGCGAUAGGUGGUGAACAAGGCUUAGGCCGAGCAAACAACCCGUCGCGCAGGUCUUUGUGCUCGAAGGACCCUGUGAUGUCGCAUUGUUGCGGCUGAACGCUGCGACCCCAGGUCAGGCGGGGCUACCCGCU